UGCUUUAAAAAUGAGAGUUGAUUUAAAAAAAAAAGUACACACAAGAAGAAAGGUAACUAACUGCCCUGGAUUGCAAAGACUGGGGUGGACCUCUUUCUCAGUGUCCAGUGUCCUGUGGCAUACAUUCAGGGCAAUACAA
rnacentral:snoRNA from 1 species